UCUAAGGAAUAAAAGUAACUUUGUGUCUGUUUUUUUUCUUUAUUUUAGACCAAAGAGCUGAAUUCUACAAAGGACUGCGGCCACAAUUCUCCUUGUAGUUGAGCGAGAAUGAUGUCUCUAAAUAGUCGAUGACCAAAGAGCAGAAUUCUACAAAGGAUUGCGAUCACAAUUCUCAAAAAACAAGUAGAAGAGCAAGAAUGGCAUCAGAUUUUUAGCUAUUACCCUUAAGCAUUGCUCCUGUUUUGGUGUCAAGAAUGGCGUCAUUAAACAGCUAAAGGUGUAUAUGAUUUGUGGGGGUUAUUUCACAGCUAGGGGGUGUUUCGACUAAAAAACUGCAAGUACUACACAUAAAUUUGUAUCAAUUUUUUUCCUUUGUUUCAGACCAAAGAGCUGACUUUUGCAAAGGACUGUGGCCACAAUUCUCCAAGUAGAAAAGCAAGAAUGGCAUCAGAUUUUUAUCUAUUACCCUUAUGCAUUGCUCCUGUUUUGGGGUGUUUGGUGGCCAUAUCUCUAUGUGUACUCUUACAUAUGGGGUAUUGUUUUAUUCAGGAGAAGUCUGUCUUUCAAAUUUGCUGUGGUUUGAUCAUUGUUAUGGGAGUUUUUGUCAUAUUUAGAUUUGAUCCUGAGUCUAUGUUUACAUUUUAGAAAAAAACUAAAAAUGCAAUAAAAAAGCUCUAAAUUUCAUGAUGCACUUAUAAAAUGUAUUUCUAAGUGAAAACUACAGCACCCCUAGAAACCUGAAGGUAUGAAGUUAUUAGAAAUUCCAAACUUGAGGGGAUAUUUUAGAUUUACAUAUAAAUUAUGCUGCAUCAACUGUUACAUGCACUUAUCCACGUUGUUCUUGUAUACAAUUCUACAAAACGUUUCCUUUUUUGGGGGGGGGGGCUACUCCUGGACAAGAAAAUUGAGGUACUGAUAUAUAUUUGGUAUCAUUGGAUUUGGCAGUAUCAGGAAUUUUACAAACAACAAAAAAAAGUGUAAAAUAACUUUUCUAUGGAAAAAACUUGUAUGUAUGUGUUAAAGGGAAAAUGAUCUACUGUAUUUAUAUGCUAAAUUACUAGUACAGCUAGCAGGAGACUGUGUUUGUAAAUUAACCCUUUGGCUGCUGUCGUGCUUGUUGAACUAAUAGAAUCGAACCCAUAGAUUAUGGUUAUAGAGGGCAGGGGAACAGUCACACUAGGUUUCUAUUGCUUGUUAAUGAUAAUGAAGCAAAUAAAUUAAAUUUUCUGUG